UAUGAAAAACUAUAUUGAAGAAAAACGAACACUUCACUAUUAACACAAACAUUUUUCACUCUAACACCAAAGCUUCUUCAAAUUCAUGGUGUUUCCAACCCUAAUCCCAUAGCUUCUUCAUCGCGCCUCCAACCCUAACCCCAGAGCUUCAUCGCGCCCCAACCCUAACCCCAGAGAUUCAUCGCGCUUCCAACCCCUCCUUCGGCAUUCUUUCCAUCGGUGCUCCUUCCGUUUCCUUUCUAUCUCGGUGCUCCCUUCCGUCUCAAACCCUCCGUCGUGCUCAGUCUCUCUCGCAAGCCCCUCCAUGGCUCAAACCGUAACACUCUGUUUCUCCUUCGCGCCGUCAGUCACCAUUAUCCUUCCUCCACGCCGUGUUCCUGGUCACCGGUCUCUGUCUUCUUCGCAUGUCUCAUCAUUCUAUGCGUGUGGUUGUGCUAAAGCUCUGAACUCCAAAGCUUCUCCACGUCCCUGACUCAGCUUUUACCCCUACUCUUGUAGGUGAGGGUGGUGAGCAACCAUCACGCAUGGAGCCUCUUCCUGAUAGCUCAAUGAACCCAAAAAGAAAUGCUAUCAAGCAGGUUGCUAGUGAGAGAUUUGGUGUUUCAAGUUACUAUCUUACAAAUAACUAAUGAAUUA